GGUAUGUCCGCGAGAGCGCGUACUUGUCGGAUCGCGACACCGCGUCUUGACGUGCAUCAUUUACGCGGCUAUCUUCGAAAUCGGCCUUUUUGCCGAGCAGCCGUCAUCGACACAUCGAUCAACAUCGCUCCGCGUUCUACGCAUCUUUGUCAAAAGUGAGUCUCGCGCGGAAAUGAGUGCCGAAAAUGCCGAAAACAGCGAUGCGCGAUCGUCAGAACCUAUCAGAUCCAAUAGAGCAGACGUAAUCACGCAGCUCUAGGGGAUGUGAUGCCUGGGGGAUGUCGCGCCGGAGGAUUCAGCUCGGGCCUGUUUGAAUCGACUUGAAGAGACGAGCACUCGACUCUAAGGGGAUGCUGCGCCGGAGGAUCCGACUCGGGCUUGGCAGAGUU